UGAGGAAUAUUGCUCAAUGGCCGCAAGGCUGAAGCAGCAACGCCGCGUGAGGGAUGAAGGAUCUAUGGUCUGUAAACCUCUGUAGAGAAGGAAAAAUAACCCAUUAUAUGGGCUUGAUAGUACUUCUAGAGUAAGCCCCGGCUAACUACGUGCCAGCAGCCGCGGUAAUACGUAGGGGGCGAGUGUUGUCCGGAAUCACUGGGUGGAAAGGGUGCUCAGGCGGGUCGAUAAGUCAGAGGUGAAAUUUCACAGCUUAACUGUGAAUGUGCUUUUGAUACGGUC
rnacentral:rRNA from 1 species